rnacentral:tRNA from 1 species
CAAAGUGUAGCUUAAACAAAGCAUCUCGCUUACACCGAAAAAAUGUUUGUAAUACCCAAACCACUUUGA